rnacentral:rRNA from 1 species
AUGUACUCCUCCAGUGGUGGCAUGCCCCAUGGGCGACUAGCAAUAGGUGAUGGUGCUAUAAAGAAAGCAGUGGUCGUUGCAAAAGCUAGAGAGAAUGACACAAGGCCAUCAAACUCCAUAUCAUACCAGUGUUUAUUGAAGGAAAAUGCUCAACUUAAAAGGCGGUGCAAGAAUAAUUUUGUUCUGAGCAAACAUGUACAGGGGUUUUAUGGCAAGCUGGGAUGGGAAGUACCCGAAGAUCUUCUUGCCUACCAAGAUGAGCUGAUGGAUGGUGGUGAUCUGAUGAAUGAAACACCCCAAGCCCAAGAGGAUGGUGGUACUCCAAUGACAGAUUCUUCACAUGAUGAAAGGCAUGUUGAUGCUGGUACUCAAAUGGAUGAUCAUGGUUCUGCUCCAACACAUGAAAAUCAUUUAGGAAUGCCAUAG